AACCCCUCUUUUCUACAGACACAGUGAGUCGCAGGAUCUGACAAGAGUCCAGGAGCUCCAGAGACUGUGAGGUUAUCAGGGGACAGAGAGACCAAGAGGUCAAGAGCUGUGGGACACCACAGAGCAGCACUGAAAGAG